CUACCAUCGCCCAUAUACUAGAAUUGCUCUACUCUCUAUUCCCAUAUUAUCACUCACUGUUAUCUUACCUUUAAUAUUGUUCUUAUUCGAUUCUACUAUCUUUCGUAUUCACACCUAUUUACUUAUCUUGGUUAAGUUAGAGCGUAGAUGAGUUCUCCCGUUUCCCUGUGGAUACGAUAAAACCUUUAACCGGGUAAAAGCUUCAACGGUAUCCGUGCGCUUGCGGAUUAUCUGUGUGCGUAUAAAUACCAUAGUACACUCUAGUGCCACGC
rnacentral:lncRNA from 1 species